AUUGAACGCUGGCGGCAGGCUUAACACAUGCAAGUCGAGCGGGGUGAUGGUGCUUGCACUAUCACUUAGCGGCGGACGGGUGAGUAAUGCUUAGGAAUCUGCCUAUUAGUGGGGGACAACAUCUCGAAAGGGAUGCUAAUACCGCAUACGUCCUACGGGAGAAAGCAGGGGAUCACUUGUGACCUUGCGCUAAUAGAUGUGCCUAAGUCGGAUUAGCUAGUUGGUGGGGUAAAGGCCUACCAAGGCGACGAUCUGUAGCGGGUCUGAGAGGAUGAUCCGCCACACUGGGACUGAGACACGGCCCAGAGUCCUACGGGAGGCAGCAGUGGGGAAUAUUGGACAAUGGGGGGAACCCUGAUCCAGCCAUGCCGCGUGUGUGAAGAAGGCCUUAUGGUUGUAAAGCACUUUAAGCGAGGAGGGGGCUCUUUUGGUUAAUACCCAAGAUGAGUGGACGUUACUCGCAGAAUAAGCACCGGCUAACUCUGUGCCAGCAGCCGCCGUAA
rnacentral:rRNA from 1 species